UGCAAAUGAGAGCAAAUGUCACCGCGGCGUUCAGGGCUUUGAAACAACCUUAUAGUAAGAAGGCAUUUCGUUUUGUCAGUAAAAGUCUUCAAAACCGCGAGAAGCAUUAUAGUUCAGGUCCUGGAAUUGUAUGGCCGCGUAUGAUGACCACCGCACAAGCCAACCAAACCACUGAAGAUGAAGUCCUUUUGCCUUCAACCGAAAGAAAUAGUCAUUCGUGGCAUUACAAUACUUUGAUUUUACGAGCAUGGCUAGGGACUUGUCUGGCGCUUGGACUGUUGAUAAGUCUGAUUCUUAUAAUCUUAAUUUGGAACUUUAUUAGGAAAAAGUACCAUCUUUCUUUUAAGGCUUACUUUGGAAUUGAAAAACGAGAAAUURGUCAACGAGAGUCAGAUCAUGAUUUUGAAAUGCAAGUCAAAGACAGUGAUGAUUUUGUUCUGGAGAAACCUACUCAGUUGUAAGAAGAGCCCGUCUCUAUGUUUUUCACCGAUGCAUCAGCUGUUUGAGUUAUAUUUUUUCUUGUAGAGAGUGAUACACUGUAUGAAGCUGAGCUUUAUGCUAAAUGAGAUUUUCUAUUUAAUUUAUAAUCCUUUCAAAACUCAGGAGAAUAACUGAAAGUAGGAAAGCGUUUUUAUAUAGGAUCUCAAAGCGAAUUCGUUUUCGGUUUUCAUAGUUGUGUUUAAAAAAUAGGUAUUCGGCACAASGUCGCGGACAGACUGAUAAGACAGUUUUGGUUUGUAGCUAUGUUUGAUAACAUACCACAUGUCAGUUUUUAUUAGGUUACAUUUGUAAUAUUAAGUAGAAAAAUGCAAAAAACACAUUACCAAAUACAAAAUAAAUUAGAAUCUGCAAA